rnacentral:rRNA from 1 species
CCUACGGGUGGCAGCAGUGAGGAAUAUUGGUCAAUGGGCGCGAGCCUGAACCAGCCAAGUAGCGUGAAGGAUGACUGCCCUACGGGUUGUAAACUUCUUUUAUAAAGGAAUAAAAUGAGGCACGUGUGCCUUUUUGUAUGUACUUUAUGAAUAAGGAUCGGCUAACUCCGUGCCAGCAGCCGCGGUAAUACGGAGGGUCCGAGCGUUAUCCGGAUUUAUUGGGUUUAAAGGGAGCGUAGGUGGGUUGUUAAGUCAGUUGUGAAAGUUUGCGGCUCAACCGUAAAAGUGCAAUUGAUACUGGUAGUCUUGAGUACAGUUGAGGUAGGCGGAAUGCGUGGUGUAGCGGUGAAAUGCUUAGAUAUCACGAAGAACUCCGAUUGCGAAGGCAGCUUACUAAACUGCAACUGACAUUGAUGCUCGAAAGUGUGGGUAUCAAACAGGAUUAGAUACCCGAGUAGUC